AUGAUAUUGUAUACGUACAAGCACAGUCCGUAUAUCGGACAGAUAUACAUAAAUGCAGUCUGGAGUGGGUAAUAAUUAAAAGUGACGUAACAGAUCGACGAGUCGUUCCAGAGUGCGAUCGCCGCAAGUAGCCGGGAAAGACGGGCCGGCGGCGGGCGGGAGGGGGGGGGAGGAGUUGGAACAAAGUGAAGGGGGAAACUGCGUGAGCAGCGGAGAAUCGAAGUCACGUGACGCUCGCACGUAUAUAAACCGUGUUACAUCGUCGUAGGUCUCCUCCGCCAAGCACGAAACUCGGCAUGAGAGUCCGUGUGAAAACAUUUAUAUAUAGACGUGAAAUACGCGGCAUUAACCAUCUGGAGCACUGAGCGUAUAACGGCAUAAACAAAUGACAAACCGUGCGACAGUGGCUUCGGACGAACGAACGAAAAACGUGAUGGAAAGCUACCAGGAUCUGAAGAUACGAGUCGAAUUCUCAAUUUCAUAUUUUUUUCUUUUUUAUCUUCUUCCCCCUCCGGCACUCUCGUUUACGCGCGUUCAUCGCCGAUAGAAAGAAGAAAAAGCGUAUCGUUUUCAACGGAAUAAUGCUUGGAUCAACGCUUUUGUAAAGGGGAAAAGAGAAGGAGCGUCGGGUGCUCACAGAGAAGCGCUACAGUCGAGUAGCGACGAAAGGGGGAAGCGACGGAGACAAGAGGCUUCUGCAGAAGCAUACGAGAGUGGUGAACGGGUUUGAAGAAUCCGACGAAAUCAGGAGCGACGAAAAGUCAAAUGACAAUGAGAGCGUACACGUCAAUGCAGUUUUUGCCGGAGGGGAAGGAAAAAAGAAAUACUAAAAGGCAGUCGCAGCAGCAGAUCGCUCGACGUUAGCGACUCGUGACCAAACUACGAACUAACGCGAACACAGGAGGGAGAGAAUUCAGAGAAUGGACGACGAAGUCAUCGAGUCGACUAGCGGGAUCGUAGACGAGAAUUGCAGUAUCAUCGAGUUAUACGGAUUAUUUUCUUCGUACGUUGGUGUGCAGACAGGAAUAAAUGUGUGUACAGAGCGGGACUCAUUUCUAUGUGACUGCGAACUAUUUUUUCCUGGCUCCGAGCCGCGUCUCAUAAUAACAAUAAUUGAACUCGUUUAUAUUAAUUGGCGUGAAUGAAUCCGUGUUGUUUGCUCCGUGGAAAAAAACGUCGACGGGGAAUUAAGGCGAAUGGGAUACCUGACGUUGCGUCGAAGCACACUGGAACCUCUCACUCUCACUCUCGCUGCUUAUAUUUGCGUAUCUUCCGAACGCCAAAGUGGGGAGAUCCUACCACGGUAUUUUUUUGCCGGGACGCCAGACGUGGGACGAACAUGGGGGUCUGAGCCCGUGAUUGGUCGACGGCGGCUUUCUCGCGCGCCCCUCCCUUGCCCGCUCGCCCGCACAGGGCGGCGAAGUUAGUUCGACUCUCGUACAUACGAGCUUAAAGCGAUGACACACACCACUAUUUCGGAAAUACGAAUCCUCGUCUUCGAAAUUGCUUGAUUUAUCGCGAUGUCGUUUAGACUUGUUGGGUCUGAUUCGUGGCGAUAAAAAUGCAUGAAAAAAUUUAUUUUACCAAAAAACAUCGAUAAACGCAGUGACACUACACAUUUAUUUCAAUAGGACAUCGAACAUU
rnacentral:lncRNA from 1 species